GAAAUUGUUAGUGGCAGACGGGUGAGUAAUGCGUAGGAAUCUACCUAGUAGUACGGAAUAGCCAUUAGAAAUGGUGGGUAAUACUGUAUAAUCCCCGAGGGGGAAAGAUUUAUCGCUAUUAGAUGAGCCUACGUUAGAUUAGCUAGUUGGUGAGGUAAUGGCUUACCAAGGCUAUGAUCUAUAGCUGGUCUGAGAGGACGAUCAGCCACACUGGAACUGAGAUACGGUCCAGACUCCUACGGGAGGCAGCAGUGGGGAAUAUUGGACAAUGGGCGAAAGCCUGAUCCAGCUAUGCCGCGUGAGUGAAGAAGGCCUUCGGGUUGUAAAACUCUUUCA
rnacentral:rRNA from 1 species